rnacentral:rRNA from 1 species
ACGUCGACCGGCGCACGGGUGAGUAACGCGUAUCCAACCUUCCCAUUACUGUGGGAUGACCUGCCGAAAGGCAGACUAAUACCGCAUAGUCUUCGAUGACGGCAUCAGAUUUGAAGUAAAGAUUUAUCGGUAAUGGAUGGGGAUGCGUCUGAUUAGCUUGUUGGCGGGGUAACGGCCCACCAAGGCUACGAUCAGUAGGGGUUCUGAGAGGAAGGUCCCCCACAUUGGAACUGAGACACGGUCCAA